rnacentral:rRNA from 1 species
GAGUAAUGUCUGGGAAACUGCCUGAUGGAGGGGGAUAACUACUGGAAACGGUAGCUAAUACCGCAUAANGUCGCAAGACCAAAGAGGGGGACCUUCGGGCCUCUUGCCAUCGGAUGUGCCCAGAUGGGAUUAGCUAGUAGGUGGGGUAACGGCUCACCUAGGCGACGAUCCCUAGCUGGUCUGAGAGGAUGACCAGCCACACUGGAACUGAGACACGGUCCAGACUCCUACGGGAGGCAGCAGUGGGGAAUAUUGCACAAUGGGCGCAAGCCUGAUGCAGCCAUGCCGCGUGUAUGAAGAAGGCCUUCGGGUUGUAAAGUACUUUCAGCGGGGAGGAAGGCGAUAAGGUUAAUAACCUUGUCGAUUGACGUUACCCGCAGAAGAAGCACCGGCUAACUCCGUGCCAGCAGCCGCGGUAAUACGGAGGGUGCAAGCGUUAAUCGGAAUUACUGGGCGUAAAGCGCACGCAGGCGGUCUGUCAAGUCGGAUGUGAAAUCCCCGGGCUCAACCUGGGAACUGCAUUCGAAACUGGCAGGCUAGAGUCUUGUAGAGGGGGGUAGAAUUCCAGGUGUAUCGGUGAAAUGCGUAGAGAUCUGGAGGAAUAC